rnacentral:rRNA from 1 species
CACACAGUAAACGAUGAAUACUCGCUGUUUGCGAUAUACAGUAAGCGGCCAAGCGAAAGCAUUAAGUAUUCCACCUGGGGAGUACGCCGGCAACGGUGAAACUCAAAGGAAUUGACGGGGGCCCGCACAAGCAGCGGAGCAUGUGGUUUAAUUCGAAGCAACGCGAAGAACCUUACCUAGACUUGACAUCUCCUGAAUUACCCGUAAUGGGGGAAGCUCUUCGGAGCAGGAAGACAGGUGG